rnacentral:tRNA from 1 species
AGGUACUGUGGUCUAGUUGGUCAUGACAUCUCGUUAACACCGAGAAGGUCCCCGGUUCGAGCCCGGGCAGAACCUAC